rnacentral:rRNA from 1 species
CCUACGGGCGGCAGCAGUGAGGAAUAUUGGUCAAUGGGCGCGAGCCUGAACCAGCCAAGUCGCGUGAGGGAUGACGGUCCUACGGAUUGUAAACCUCUUUUGCCGGGGAGCAAGCGUGCGUUCGUGAACGCACGUCGAGAGUACCCGGAGAAAAAGCAUCGGCUAACUCCGUGCCAGCAGCCGCGGUAAUACGGAGGAUGCGAGCGUUAUCCGGAUUUAUUGGGUUUAAAGGGUGCGUAGGCGGGAUGCCAAGUCAGCGGUAAAAAUGCGGUGCUCAACGCCGUCGAGCCGUUGAAACUGGCGUGCUUGAGUGGGCGAGAAGUAUGCGGAAUGCGUGGUGUAGCGGUGAAAUGCAUAGAUAUCACGCAGAACUCCGAUUGCGAAGGCAGCAUACCGGCGCCCUACUGACGCUGAGGCACGAAAGCGUGGUAUCGAACAGGAUUAGAUACCCCUGUAGUC